rnacentral:rRNA from 1 species
UACGGAGGAUGCGAGCGUUAUCCGGAUUUAUUGGGUUUAAAGGGUGCGUAGGCGGCCGAGUAAAUCAGCGGUGAAAUUUUGCAGCUUAACUGUAACAGUGCCGUUGAUACUGCAUGGCUAGGAUUUGGUUGCUGUGGGUGGAAUGUGUGGUGUAGCGGUGAAAUGCUUAGAUAUCACACAGAAUAUCAAUUGCGAAGGCAGCUCACAAAGCCAAGAUUGACGCUGAGGCACGAAAGUGUGGGGAGUCAAA